CUAUCCCUAGUGACAUGCGUGAAGGAGCUUGGAAAUGGUGCUGGGUAGGAGCUGAGUGUGCAGAAUGUGGAAAGGCAUUCUAAACCUAAGGAAGAACAUGAGUAAAGAUGAUGAAGCAGGGAUAAGGCUAAAAUGAAAUAUGUGAUCUGAUCCACAUACAAACACAGCGUAGUACAGCUGGAAUAUAGAGAAGAGCUUGAGGACCCAUGAGCAACUAUCCCAGUACUCUUGGAGGCUCUGCCACCACAGUUUGAGAAACUCCGCAUUCAAAGUUAAAAACUGUCACCUGAAUAGUUAAUAACAUCAAAGAUUGUGAAAGCAAGUAUAAAUAACACAGAGAUUAAAAUAAUGAGGCAGGAUCAGAAAAUGACGAAGGUUGAAGAAGCGGCAUCAUCAGAGAACUGUGUUUUGAAGAUUUGAGGGAAGGGCUGACCUCAGGAUUUUAUACUAGUUACUGACCUCCAUAACAGCAGACAAAAUUGGAAGCAAGAGUGAUUUUGGAGGAGUCACACUUAGAUGUUUCCCUUACCUAUUUCUGUUCUGGAAAUUUAAAAAUCUUACUUCUCGUAACAGUCCUACAUGAAAAAUUAAAAAUCACAAGGAUUCAUGGAUGGAAAA
rnacentral:lncRNA from 1 species